ACACACGCUGAAUCCCGAACAGGGAGCGGGGGAACCGAACGGCGCGCACCGCGCGCUACAGGGGUGAAUCCUUCCGGCCAAGCAGGCCGAAGGUAGGGCGACUCUCACGUCCGAAUCCGACAGCUAACCUCGCAAGCGUCUCGAGAGGG
rnacentral:sRNA from 1 species